AUUGAACGCUGGCGGCAGGCUUAACACAUGCAAGUCGAACGAUGACUCUCUAGCUUGCUAGAGAAGAUUAGUGGCGGACGGGUGAGUAACAUUUAGGAAUCUGCCUAGUAGUGGGGGAUAGCUCGGGGAAACUCGAAUUAAUACCGCAUACGACCUACGGGUGAAAGGGGGCGCAAGCUCUUGCUAUUAGAUGAGCCUAAAUCAGAUUAGCUAGUUGGUGGGGUAAAGGCCCACCAAGGCGACGAUCUGUAACUGGUCUGAGAGGAUGAUCAGUCACACCGGAACUGAGACACGGUCCGGACUCCUACGGGAGGCAGCAGUGGGGAAUAUUGGACAAUGGGGGCAACCCUGAUCCAGCCAUGCCGCGUGUGUGAAGAAGGCCUUUUGGUUGUAAAGCACUUUAAGCAGGGAGGAGAGGCUAAUGGUUAAUACCCAUUAGAUUAGACGUUACCUGCAGAAUAAGCACCGGCUAACUCUGUGCCAGCAGCCGCGGUAAUACAGAGGGUGCGAGCGUUAAUCGGAAUUACUGGGCGUAAAGCGAGUGUAGGUGGCUCAUUAAGUCACAUGUGAAAUCCCCGGGCUUAACCUGGGAACUGCAUGUGAUACUGGUGGUGCUAGAAUAUGUGAGAGGGAAGUAGAAUUCCAGGUGUAGCGGUGAAAUGCGUAGAGAUCUGGAGGAAUACCGAUGGCGAAGGCAGC
rnacentral:rRNA from 1 species